ensembl:rRNA 5S_rRNA 5S ribosomal RNA
GCUUAUGGCAAUACCAACCUGAAAUGUACCUCAUCUUGUCUGAUCUAGUAAGAUAAGCAGGGUGAGGCCUGGUUAGUACUUGGAUGGGAAACAACCUGGGAAUACUGGGUGCUGUAGGCA